rnacentral:lncRNA from 1 species
GGGCUGGAGUGGGAGACCCAGGUCAGCGGGCAGUCCCUGGUCUCUGUCCGCGAGCAGUGGGACCUGCAGCCAGAGCCUGGACGGAGGCCCAGGCCCUCGGAGCUGCCGGUGGAGUCCCUCCUGGCCUGCUCAGAGUGAGGACCGGGUCACCUGUUCUGGGGACCCCUAAAAGCACAAGGAAAAUGGGUCCUCUGGAUGAGAGCCCGGACCCCC